GUGCAGCAGGCGAGAAUAGUCUACAAUGUGCGAAAGCACGAUAAGGGAACUCUGAGUGCCUCCUAAGGAGGCUGUUCUGAUGUCUAAAACGCAACAGAAGUAAGGGCUGGGUAAGACCGGUGCCAGCCGCCGCGGUAACACCGGCAGCCCAAGUGGUAGCCACGUUUAUUGGGUCUAAAGCGUUCGUAGCCGGCCAGGUAAGUUCCUUGGUAAAUUUAGCCGCUUAACGGUUAAGCUUUCAGGGAAUACUGCUUGGCUUGGGACUGGGAGAGGUCAGAGGUACUCCGGGGGUAGGGUGAAAUCUAUUAAUCCCUGGGGGACCACCGGUAGCGAAGGCGUCUGACCAGACCAGGUCCGACGGUGAGGGACGAAGGCUAAGGGGCGCGAACCGGAUUAGAUACCCCUGUAGU
rnacentral:rRNA from 1 species